CCUACGGGUGGCAGCAGUGAGGAAUAUUGGUCAAUGGGCGAGAGCCUGAACCAGCCAUGUCGCGUGAAGGACGACGGUCCUAUGGGUUGUAAACCUCUUUUGUCGGAGGACAAAGGCGCCCACGUGUGUGCGGUUGAGUGUACCCUAAGAAUAAGCAUCGGCUAACUCCGUGCCAGCAGCCGCGGUAAUACGGAGGAUGCAAGCGUUAUCCGGAUUUAUUGGGUUUAAAGGGUGCGUAGGCGGACAAUAAAGUCAGCGUGAAAAUUCCGGUGCUAAACGCCGUACAGCCGUUGAAACUGGCAGUCUUGAGUGGACGUGCAGUAUGCGGAAUGCGUGGUGUAGCGGUGAAAUGCAUAGAGAUCACACAGAACUCCGAUUGCGAAGGCAGCAUACCGACGCACUACUGACGCUGAGGCACGAAAGCGUGGGGAGCGAACAGGAUUAGAUACCCCAGUAGUC
rnacentral:rRNA from 1 species